GACAGAGGGUGCAAGCGUUGUUCGGAAUUACUGGGCGUAAAGCGCGUGUAGGCUGCUCUGCAAGUCGGAUGUGAAAGCCGUGGGCUCAACCUAGGAAGUGCAUUCGAAACUGCGGAGCUUGAGUCCUGGAGAGGAAGGCGGAAUUCUCGGUGUAGAGGUGAAAUUCGUAGAUAUCGAGAGGAACACCUGCGGCGAAGGCGGGUUGCUGGGCUGACACUGACGCUGAUGCGCGAAAGCCAGGGGAGCGAACGGG
rnacentral:rRNA from 1 species